AGAGUUUGAUCAUGGCUCAGAUUGAACGCUGGCGGAAUGCUUUACACAUGCAAGUCGAACGGUAGAGGGGGCAACCCCUUGAGAGUGGCGAACGGGUGAGUAAUGUAUCGGAACGUGCCCAGUCGUGGGGGAUAACGUAGUGAAAAUUACGCUAAUACCGCAUACGAUCUAUGGAUGAAAGCGGGGGAUCGCAAGACCUCGCGCGAUUGGAGCGGCCGAUAUCAGAUUAGGUAGUUGGUGGGGUAAAGGCUCACCAAGCCAACGAUCUGUAGCUGGUCUGAGAGGACGACCAGCCACACUGGAACUGAGACACGGUCCAGACUCCUACGGGAGGCAGCAGUGGGGAAUUUUGGACAAUGGACGCAAGUCUGAUCCAGCCAUUCCGCGUGCAGGACGAAGGCCUUCGGGUUGUAAACUGCUUUUGUACGGAACGAAAAAGCUCUUAUUAAUACUAGGAGUCCAUGACGGUACCGUAAGAAUAAGCACCGGCUAACUACGUGCCAGCAGCCGCGGUAAUACGUAGGGUGCAAGCGUUAAUCGGAAUUACUGGGCGUAAAGCGUGCGCAGGCGGUUAUAUAAGACAGAUGUGAAAUCCCCGAGCUUAACUUGGGAACUGCAUUUGUGACUGUAUAGCUAGAGUACGGCAGAGGGGGAUGGAAUUCCGCGUGUAGCACUGAAAUGCGUAGAUAUGCGGAGGAACACCGAUGGCGAAGGCAAUCCCCUGGGCCUGUACUGACGCUCAUGCACGAAAGCGUGGGGAGCAAACAGGAUUAGAUACCCUGGUAGUCCACGCCCUAAACGAUGUCAACUGGUUGUUGGGUCUUCACUGACUCAGUAACGAAGCUAACGCGUGAAGUUGACCGCCUG
rnacentral:rRNA from 1 species